CAGUCGAGCGGUAGCACAGGAGAGCUUGCUCUCUGGGUGACGAGCGGCGGACGGGUGAGUAAUGUCUGGGAAACUGCCUGAUGGAGGGGGAUAACUACUGGAAACGGUAGCUAAUACCGCAUAACGUCUACGGACCAAAGUGGGGGACCUUCGGGCCUCACGCCAUCAGAUGUGCCCAGAUGGGAUUAGCUAGUAGGUGGGGUAAUGGCUCACCUAGGCGACGAUCCCUAGCUGGUCUGAGAGGAUGACCAGCCACACUGGAACUGAGACACGGUCCAGACUCCUACGGGAGGCAGCAGUGGGGAAUAUUGCACAAUGGGCGCAAGCCUGAUGCAGCCAUGCCGCGUGUGUGAAGAAGGCCUUAGGGUUGUAAAGCACUUUCAGCGAGGAGGAAGGGUAGUGUGUUAAUAGCACAUUGCAUUGACGUUACUCGCAGAAGAAGCACCGGCUAACUCCGUGCCAGCAGCCGCGGUAAUACGGAGGGUGCAAGCGUUAAUCGGAAUUACUGGGCGUAAAGCGCACGCAGGCGGUUUGUUAAGUCAGAUGUGAAAUCCCCGCGCUUAACGUGGGAA
rnacentral:rRNA from 1 species